rnacentral:rRNA from 1 species
CCUACGGGAGGCAGCAGUGGGGAAUAUUGCACAAUGGGGGGAACCCUGAUGCAGCGACGCCGCGUGAGUGAAGAAGUAUUUCGGUAUGUAAAGCUCUAUCAGCAGGGAAGAAAAUGACGGUACCUGACUAAGAAGCCCCGGCUAACUACGUGCCAGCAGCCGCGGUAAUACGGAGGGGGCAAGCGUUAUCCGGAUUUACUGGGUGUAAAGGGAGCGUAGACGGUUAUGCAAGUCUGAAGGGAAAGCUCAAGGCUCAACCAUGGGACUGCUUUGGAAACUGUAAAACUGGAGUGCAGGAGAGGUAAGCGGAAUUCGUAGUGUAGCGGUGAAAUGCGUAGAUAUUAGGAGGAACACCAGUGGCGAAGGCGGCUUACCGGACUGUAACUGACGUUGAGGCGCGAAGGCGUGGGGAGCAAACAGGAUUAGAUACCCGGGUAGUC